rnacentral:lncRNA from 1 species
AACAUCUUUAUUUUAUUUUUAUGUGGUGCUGAGGAUCGAACUCAACGACCUACGCAUGCCAGGCGAGUGCGCUACUUCUUGAGCCACAUCCCCAGCCCUUUAACAGAUAUUUUGAGGAAGGGAAUUGAGAGUCCACAUGAGUAACAGUCUCAUGGGGCACUUGUGCAGCUUGUGGGGAGCAUGUGUUGCUGUAUGUCCACUACAUGUGAGGGACUCACAGAGGAACAGCAUAUACAAAGUUGUCAUAUUCUCCAUUAUUUCAGUCCAGUGGGUAUUCAAAAAACUUUACAGAAAACUCAACAGCAGGAGAAAGAGUUUCACUUGGAACUCAGAAGACACAAGAGGAAAGGUGUGUCCAUGGCACAGUCCAAGGUAUGAGAAGAGCGCAACCUGUUUUGAAAACCGCUACUACUGAGGCUUCAUUGCAAGUUCCGCAUCCACCAAGCCUCUAAGGCGCUGGCUCAGCGCAGAGUUAUUAAAGCUCUCGCCGCGAGAGCCGCCAACAGGAAAUACGCCAUCAUCAGGCGCAACCGUCUUAGCCUCGGCGCAUGGGAAGGUGACGUACAGGUUGGAGAUAAUGGUGGCCCGCCGAGACCGAAUUUUCUUGGGUAUUCACAGCCGGGCGGGGCGUGGGUUGGCGUCACUCUCAAUUUCUGUGUUUUCGUGGUUAUUGGAGACGGACGUUUUAUUUAUAUUUUCCUCUUGUUCAUUCGUUUUCAUGUUUAGGGUGUCGCAUUUUAAAACAUGAAUUUGCAUUUGUUCUUGCUAAUAUACAUUAUUAAUACAAGUUUUAAAGAUUCAAAUAUUUGCUUGUGAUCCCACCAAUCUAUCACUUUUCUACAGAUUAUUUUUAAUGACAGAGACCAGAAACAAGGGAUUUUUAGAGCCUAACUGCCAAAGUGCAACAUGUUUCAUCUGAUUAUAUGGGCUUUGCUUAACCUAUCGUUUUAUAGCUGUUUGGAUUCUGGUGUGUGUGUGUGUGUGUGUGACUCAGAAUACAGAACAGGCAAGGAGGAAUUUAUAGCUGAGGAGCAGGUGGAAGUCAGUGGCUGGAAAAUUACUAAGUGGUAAUGGGUAUCAGAUAUCACUUCCUGGGGGUGGAGGAUGAGAAACCUAAUCAGAUAUCUAGGUGGGGGUGUCUUGCUAAACUGAGUUAGCAAGGCUGUUUUCUAAAACUGGAUUUUAUAAGGCAGUCUGCAGAUGGUCCUUGGGAAAGGUUCCAGAUCCUGAUUAAAAUUUGAUUAAGCCUAGAAUCUUUGUCAGUGUGAGGAUUAUUAUUAUUAUUUUAUGUAGUACUGGAGACCAAACAGCCAUGUUAGGCAAACACUCUAACACCAGCCCAGGAAUUCAAGUUUUUAUACAAUGUUCCAUGCCCCCAUCCCCUUUCCAAGGAAC